AGUCAGCAGCCUCACAGAAAUCAAAGGCCAGUGGUAGCUCCUGACCAGUGUGCCUGUCUGUGGUCCUGGGCUAUUGGCUACCCAGAAAGCCUCUUCCUAGACCUGCGCACACAAUUAGCUGAUGAGUCACAUAGAGAAGAGGAGCUUGGUUCCCCUCAAGUAAUACCACUAAGCUCCUGCCGAUCCGGUUCCCACUGACACAUGGGAGUGGCCCUCACAGAGGGACACUCAAGGCCCCAGCGCUUGGCAGAGAGAAGAGAUUCGGCUCAGGUCCACUGUAAAGAAGAUGGAAACCUUUGCCUCACGAUUCUAAGAGGAAGUCGGUGGGCAAGUGUGCUCAUAUCCUGUGCCACAAAAGACAAGCUGCGCCCGGUCCCUCUCGGGUGGCCCCAUGUUACAACAGGCGCUCCAGGGAACCAGAGUCAGACCCAUCAGGCUUGCUAACAGUGUCAGGGCAGCUUCAGGGACCCUGGCGUACAUUUAGCCUUUUACUAUCAGUGAUUAAUAGCGUCUCAAGUUUCCCGAAGUGCUUGUAAAUUUUUGCUUCCACAUCUGUGAGUCCUCUACUGGACCCGGACUGGAAGGUCCAUCUGACAGACAAGGAAGCUGAGGCUCAGCCAGCAAAGUGAUGGAUAGACUCACAUGACCAGAAGGGACCAGAACAGCCGGGGAGAGGCCCACACUGCAGAUCUUGGGGGAUCCAUCCCGUUCUCUGAGCCAUGUUAUCUGUAGAUUUGCCUUGCUUCUCACUUACCACAGAACUCUUCUGCUAUUGUUCGUGUCAAAGCACAAACACCACAGCGAAGAGCCUUCCUUCCCAGGGCCAGAAUGUCACAGAUGCUGGUCUUAUAUCCUGGUGGCUGAUCCAGGAAAGGAAGAAACAGUGGCGUCACUAGGAAGGAAGAGUGAAUGCUUGCCGAGUGCCCGUCAGGGAACCAGGAGAGAAGCCCAGAGUGCUCUGCACCAUGGUAGGCCCUCAGUGCAUUCUGGGAAGGUCAGAAGCCACCCACGGAAGGUUAGCUGAACCUACUGGUCUAGAAAGCCAGCAUCAGAGACCCCUCUGCAAGGACACGGCAGGCAGACACUCUCUGCCUGACUACGGUGGCCCCUGAGUGGGCCUAGAGUGAGGCAUGGCACUUCUGUGACCAUGGCUCUUUCUCGUGGCAGCUUUUGAUGUCACCACGGCUGCUCUGCAGUGUGAUACCACAAUGGGCUGGGGCCUUUGUCCAGUUGUGAACAACUUGUAUUUCCUUUCUGUUUUAAAGAUUCACUUUUCUUUGUGUGUAUGUGUGUGUGUGUGUGUGUGUGUGUGUGUGUAUGCGUGGAUGCCAUCACCCAAGGAGGCCAGAAGAGGAUGUUAGACCCCUUGGAACAGAAGUUAGAGGCAGUUCUGAGUCUCCUGACCUUGGUGCUGGGAAUAGAACUUGGGUCCGAAGAGCAGGAAGUGUUCUUAGCUGCUGAGCCGUCUCUCCGACCCCAGUUUGUAGCUGCUUGCAUUUUAGGGUACACUCAUGGUUUCUCCUGUCACCCUACCCAGAGAUGUGGGGGGCCAAGUUGACUCCUCUCCAUUCAUGUAGUUUCACAGUUGAAACUGGUCUUAGCUCGGUGUGGCAGGGCACAUCGAUCAUCCUAGGACUUGGGAGGCGGAGGCAGAAGGACCAGUCCAGGCAGCAUACAAAGGCCCUGUCUCAAAAACUAAGCUAAGCAAGUGAGACAAAAAUGAACAGCCGCAAACAUGCAUUCUACUUGCAGGUCCCUCAGGAAAGAACAAACCCCAGAGAAAUGGAUCUGGGGGUUCUCAGCUUAUCCAAUGUUUUUAUUUUGAGUUUUUUUCAGACUUCAAGAAGCUUGAGAGUUUGUUUUUACAAGCUUCUCCACCAUCAUUUGUAUACUAAGUCUCUUUGAAAUAGUUUCUGUGAUAAAAA